GCUCAGCAGGGAGGAAUGACUGCUGAAAUGGUUUUGUGGAGGAGGAGAGGGAGGAGUGGGAUCUAGAGGUGACAGGUAUUACCCAGUUUUAUCCUGCCCAUUCAAGCAGAAAGAGAACAUCUACUUCAGCUCAGUAAAAGCCGCAAACCCUUCCCUCUGUGACCCAAGSACGUGGGUGCCAUUUUGGAACGCAAAGGUGACCCUGAAGUUGUUCCUGACUCUACAGACCGGUCUCCUGUCCAACUGAGAGAAGUGCCAGAGAGCGCUCAAUUAUCACCCACCCUUUCACCUCRGAGACAUGUGGGUGACGAGAGGCCCCAGAGGACCCUGGCUGCAGGCUGCAGCCAGCCAGGCCCCCAUUCACAGCUCACAGGGCAGGGCGGCUCCAGACUGCAGUGGAGGACACACUGACUGUUCACUCCCC